UACGUAGGGUGCAAGCGUUAAUCGGAAUUACUGGGCGUAAAGCGUGCGCAGGCGGUUUUGUAAGUCUGUCGUGAAAUCCCCGGGCUUAACCUGGGAAUGGCGAUGGAGACUGCAAGGCUAGAGUUUGGCAGAGGGGGGUAGAAUUCCACGUGUAGCAGUGAAAUGCGUAGAGAUGGGGAGGAACACCGAUGGCGAAGGCAGCCCCCUGGGUCAAAACUGACGCUCAUGCACGAAAGCGUGGGGAGCAAACAGG
rnacentral:rRNA from 1 species